rnacentral:rRNA from 1 species
CCUACGGGAGGCAGCAGUGAGGAAUAUUGGACAAUGGACGCAAGUCUGAACCAGCCAUGCCGCGUGCAGGAAGACGGCCCUAUGAGUGGUAAACUGCUUUUGUACGGGGGUAAACGCAGAUACGCGUAUCUUUCUGAAAGUAUCGUACGAAUAAGGGUCGGCUAACUCCGUGCCAGCAGCCGCGGUAAUACGGAGGAUGCAAGCGUUAUCCGGAUUUAUUGGGUUUAAAGGGUGCGUAGGCGGUCGGAUAAGUUAGAGGUGAAAUCCCGAGGCUCAACUUCGGAAUUGCCUCUGAUACUGUUCGGCUAGAGAGUAGUUGCGGUAGGUAGAAUGUAAGGUGUAGCGGUGAAAUGCGUAGAGAUCAGACAGAACACCGAUUGCGAAGGCGGCUUCCCAGGCUACUUCUGACGUUGAGGCACGAAAGCGUGGGGAGCAAACAGGAUUAGAUACCCGGGUAGUC